rnacentral:rRNA from 1 species
AGGACGAACGCUGGCGGCGUGCUUAACACAUGCAAGUCGAGCGGAAAGGCCCUUCGGGGUACUCGAGCGGCGAACGGGUGAGUAACACGUGAGUAAUCUGCCCCUAGCUCUGGGAUAGCUCCGGGAAACCGGGAUUAAUACCAGAUACGACCACUUUAGACAUCUGUUGUGGUGGAAAGAAUUUUGGCUAGGGAUGAGCUCGCGGCCUAUCAGCUUGUUGGUGAGGUAACGGCUCACCAAGGCGACGACGGGUAGCCGGCCUGAGAGGGCGACCGGCCACACUGGGACUGAGACACGGCCCAGACUCCUACGGGAGGCAGCAGUGGGGAAUAUUGCGCAAUGGGCGAAAGCCUGACGCAGCGACGCCGCGUGGGGAUGAAGGCCUUCGGGUUGUAAACCCCUUUCAGCAGGGACGAAGCGAAAGUGACGGUACCUGCAGAAGAAGCGCCGGCUAACUACGUGCCAGCAGCCGC